GAUGAACGCUGGCGGCGUGCUUAACACAUGCAAGUCGAACGAAACACCUUAUUUGAUUUUCUUCGGAACUGAAGAUUUGGUGAUUGAGUGGCGGACGGGUGAGUAACGCGUGGGUAACCUGCCCUGUACAGGGGGAUAACAGUCAGAAAUGACUGCUAAUACCGCAUAAGACCACAGCACCGCAUGGUGCAGGGGUAAAAACUCUGGUGGUACAGGAUGGACCCGCGUCUGAUUAGCUGGUUGGUGAGGUAACGGCUCACCAAGGCGACGAUCAGUAGCCGGCUUGAGAGAGUGAACGGCCACAUUGGGACUGAGACACGGCCCAAACUCCUACGGGAGGCAGCAGUGGGGAAUAUUGCACAAUGGGGGAAACCCUGAUGCAGCGACGCCGCGUGAGUGAAGAAGUAUCUCGGUAUGUAAAGCUCUAUCAGCAGGGAAGAAAAUGACGGUACCUGACUAAGAAGCCCCGGCUAACUACGUGCCAGCAGCCGCGGUAAUACGUAGGGGGCAAGCGUUAUCCGGAAUUACUGGGUGUAAAGGGUGCGUAGGUGGUAUGGCAAGUCAGAAGUGAAAACCCAGGGCUUAACUCUGGGACUGCUUUUGAAACUGUCAGACUGGAGUGCAGGAGAGGUAAGCGGAAUUCCUAGUGUAGCGGUGAAAUGCGUAGAUAUUAGGAGGAACAUCAGUGGCGAAGGCGGCUUACUGGACUGAAAC
rnacentral:rRNA from 1 species